rnacentral:hammerhead_ribozyme from 1 species
AUCCGUCAGAUGAGCCCCAAUUAGGACGAAACGCGAGUCCUGGAU